rnacentral:rRNA from 1 species
GACGAACGCUGGCGGCGUGCUUAACACAUGCAAGUCGAACGGAAAGGCCCUGCUUUUGUGGGGUGCUCGAGUGGCGAACGGGUGAGUAACACGUGAGUAACCUGCCCUUGACUUUGGGAUAACUUCAGGAAACUGGGGCUAAUACCGGAUAGGAGCUCCUGCUGCAUGGUGGGGGUUGGAAAGUUUCGGCGGUUGGGGAUGGACUCGCGGCUUAUCAGCUUGUUGGUGGGUAGUGGCUUACCAAGGCUUUGACGGGUAGCCGGCCUGAGAGGGUGACCGGCCACAUUGGGACUGAGAUACGGCCCAGACUCCUACGGGAGGCGGCAGUGGGGAAUAUUGCACAAUGGGCGGAAGCCUGAUGCAGCAACGCCGCGUGCGGGAUGACGGCCUUCGGGUUGUAAACCGCUUUCGCCUGUGACGAAGCGUGAGUGACGGUAAUGGGUAAAGAAGCACCGGCUAACUACGUG